CUGCUUAUUGUCUUUAAAGAAGGCAAUGUACCUACCUUAUUUUGUGCUCUGUUAUUAUCUUUGAUCAGUAUCAGUUGUGUCUCUUAGAGAGACACUCCUACCUUUUCUGACUUGAGUUGUUAACUAUUGUUCCAUACUUCUGUUAGCUACAACAAAAAAUCUUUGAAUUUGGUACUGCAUGAUUUUUUACUACUGCUUACACACAGAGUAUUUGCUACUACUAAAACAGCGAUUUUGUAUGCACUGCUACCUGAUGAGUGCUUUCUUUGUAAUAUUUCACCUUGGCAUGCAUAUGUUUGUUCGGUUUGAACUUUGCAUGACAUGAUAUAAUUAUUUCCAGUGUUUUUCUCAACUUAUUUUCAUUGACACUUGAUAUAUAGUUAGCUUGUACUUGAAGCUAUGGGUUAAUGUGGUGAUUUUGUUCUACUUGGAUGCAUUGUACCCCCAUAAUCGAGCGCAUGGAUGCAAUGGCAAGAAGAUCAUGGUUGUGUGCAUCAUCAAGCACACCACGGAGAUAAUCGACCUCCUCACCGAUGGUAACUCAAUCUAGAUCAUCACUUUAUACUCUCCUACCUUUGUGAUGUUAGUAUGCUUCUGCUGACUAUACAAUGUGACUUAUAAUUUCUAGCUGUGCAUGUUGUAGACUGUUGACUGUAGAGUGGUACACUUCCUGGAGCAUUGUAAUGCCUUACCAAGUAGCAAUUGCAUGAAGAUAGUCCACAGCACAAAAACUAUGUGUAAUGGAUCCAUCACUUACAAUCUGUACGUGAAUACCAUGUGUAAUGACUGUUAUUUUUUGCAUCGUCUGAACAUUUUUUUGCUGCUGUAUUGUUUCUCACUCAUGAUUGAUCUACUGCCAGUUGAAGGUUUUCAAAUGUUGAAGGAGGAGGAUAAUAGGAACUUCUGUGAUGUCUUGUCAUCUAUUUUCUUUUCUUUGUUGUAGAAUAGUUUUGUUUGGCACUUACUAGUUCCUUGGACAUAAAGAUAUGUACUGCCAGAAUGAAUGCAUGUAAAUAUAUUUUGGGCUCCUAUAAUAUUCCAUGUUGCUUUGAAAAUGUAUCAUAACUAGGCUAGGCCCAAGAUAACUUGUAGUGUGAUGUGUUGUAAUGUCAAUGGCAUAAUAAAAGAAGUUGGAUUGGAUCAAUUAUUUCAGCCCAGCCCAAGAUAUAUUGAACAACUAUUUCUGAGGGGAAAACUUGAGAGGCCUAGCAAAGAAAUGGCCCAGAAAAAACAAGACCAAAAAACAAUCUGUCAAAACGGAU
rnacentral:lncRNA from 1 species